rnacentral:rRNA from 1 species
CGGAUUGGAGUCUGCAACCCGACUCCAUGAAGCUGGAUUCGCUAGUAAUCGCGCAUCAGCCACGGCGCGGUGAAUACGUUCCCGGGCCUUGUACACACCGCCCGUCAAGCCAUGGGAGCCGGGAGUGCCUGAAGUGCGCGGCCGCGAGGAGCGCCCUAGGGCAAGACUGGUGACCUGGGGCUAAGUCGUAACAAGGUAAC